rnacentral:rRNA from 1 species
GAUGAACGCUGGCGGCGUGCCUAACACAUGCAAGUCGAACGGAAAGACCCUGCUUUUGUGGGGUGCUCGAGUGCCGAACGGGUGAGUAACACGUGAGUAACCUGCCCUUGACUUUGGGAUAACUUCAGGAAACUGGGGCUAAGACAGGAUAGGAGAUCCUGCUGCAUGGUGGGGGUUGGAAAGUUUCGGCGGUUGGGGAUGGACUCGCGGCUUAUCAGCUUGUUGGUGGGGUAGUGGCUUACCAAGGCUUUGACGGGUAGCCGGCCUGAGAGGGUGACCGGCGACCUUGGGACUGAGGUACGGACCAGUCUCCUACGGGAGGCAGAAGUGGGGAAUAUUGCCCAAUGGGCGGAAGCCUGAUGCAGCAGCGCUGCGUGCGGGAUGCCGUCCUUCGGGUUGUAAACCGCUGUCGCCUGUGACGAAGCGUGAGUGACGGUAAUGGGUAAAGAAGCACCGGCUAACUACGUG